UAGGGAAUCUUCGGCAAUGGGGGGAACCCUGACCGAGCAACGCCGCGUGAGUGAAGAAGGUUUUCGGAUCGUAAAGCUCUGUUGUUAAGGAAGAACGAGUGUGAGAAUGGAAAGUUCAUACUGUGACGGUACUUAACCAGAAAGGGACGGCUAACUACGUGCCAGCAGCCGCGGUAAUACGUAGGUCUCGAGCGUUGUCCGGAUUUAUUGGGCGUAAAGCGAGCGCAUGCGGUUAGAUAAGUCUGAAGUUAAAGGCAGUGGCUCAACCAUUGUAGGCUUUGGAAACUGUUUAGCUUGAGUGCGGAAGGGGAGAGUGGAAUUCCAUGUGUAGCGGUGAAAUUCGUAGAUAUAUGGAGGAACACCGGUGGCGAAAGCGGCUCUCUGGUCUGUAACUGACGCUGAGGCUCGAAAGCGUGGGGAGCGAACAGG
rnacentral:rRNA from 1 species